CGGGCAGUAGCUCAGUGGUGGAGUUCUCGCUUCAUAUGCGGGAAGACCUGGGUUUGAUCCCUGGCUGCUUAU
rnacentral:tRNA from 1 species